GGGCACGUAGCUCAAUUGGUUAAGAGCACCGCCAUUUGUGCGGAAGGGCGCGGGUUCGAUUCCCGCCGUGUCCU
rfam:Phytophthora sojae unplaced genomic scaffold PHYSOscaffold_5, whole genome shotgun sequence.